rnacentral:lncRNA from 1 species
UUAAAAGGAGUGUGAAGAGAGGAUAUUCUUGCCAUAUUCCUUAUCUUAGCAGGAAUAUUUAUAUUUCUCAACAUUAUGUUAGCUGCCUAGUUUUUUGGUUUGGUUUCAAAUAUGUUCUUUAUCAACUUGAGGAAAUCCCUUUAGAUUCCUAGUUUCUGAGUUUUGUUUUUUGUUUUCUUUAAAUCAUGUUUGUAUAUUGGAUUUUUUUCAAAUGGAUUUUUCAAAUGUCCAACCAGCCUUAUAUAUCCUACUUGGUUGUUGUGCAUAAUUCUUUUUCUGUGUUGUUAAAUUUUGAUUUACCAAUUUUUGUUAAAGAUUUUUGCAUCUAUGAGAGAGAGAGAGAGAGAGAGAGAGAAGUCUUUUUAGCUGUUUUUUGUUUCUUGUAAUGUGUUUGUCCUUAUUUUGGUAAUUGGUUAUUAGGGUAAUGCUGGUCUCAUAAAAUGAGUUAGGAAGUAUUCCCCUCUUCUGGGCAUGGAAAAAUAAGAAUUCAUACCCCAUUUGAAUCAAAUGUAUGAUAUGUCAAUAUCAUUGUAUUAUCUUGAGCAACUAAUAAAAAAAAAGAAUUAGUAUAAGUUCUGUCUGAUUUGCUAGAAUUCAGCAGUGAAGCCAUCUUAGCCUAGUACUUUCUGUUUCACAACAUUAUUAAUUAUUGAUUCAAUUUCUGUUGGUAUGUCAAAUCUUUUGUAAUUGUCAUUUAGUUCUUGAAUAUGCCGUUCCUUAUUUUUCAGUCUUUCUUCUGGUUUGGUUUUAAGUUUUGUAGAAAUUCC